rnacentral:rRNA from 1 species
CCUACGGGGGGCUGCAGUGAGGAAUAUUGGUCAAUGGGCUUACGCCUGAACCAGCCAAGUCGCGUGAGGGAAGACUGCCCUAUGGGUUGUAAACCUCUUUUGUCAGGGAGCAACGCCGGCUACGUAUAGCCGGACUGAGAGUACCUGAAGAAAAAGCAUCGGCUAACUCCGUGCCAGCAGCCGCGGUAAUACGGAGGGGGCAAGCGUUAUCCGGAUUUACUGGGUGUAAAGGGAGCGUAGACGGUUAUGUAAGUCUGGAGUGAAAGCCCGGGGCCCAACCCCGGGACUGCUUUGGAAACUGUGUAACUGGAGUACAGGAGGGGCAGGCGGAAUUCCUGGUGUAGCGGUGAAAUGCGUAGAUAUCAGGAGGAACACCGGCGGCGAAGGCGGCCUGCUGGACUGAAACUGACGUUGAGGCUCGAAAGCGUGGGGAGCAAACAGGAUUAGAUACCCUUGUAGUC